GGGCCAUCUGGCUGUGACAUCUGUCACCCCAUGGAUGGCUAAAGUAGAUUUGCCGAUUUGGAUGACUAGAAAUGUAUCUCUCAUUCCCAGCUCCAUUUAGGUCCCUCUCAAAACUGUGUGUUUGGUAAAGGUUGAUGGCCUUCCUGAUAGAGGAGUACCAGUCAUUGAUCAAGGAUGACUGGGACAUAUGCUUAGUUGCAUUUCCCUGCUGGAGCUUCCAAGGGAAGCACUCAAGGGAACAGUCUGUGUGACAACAGGUUAGUUGGAGAGAGAUGCCAGGACAUUAGGACUUGUGGCUG
rnacentral:snRNA from 1 species